rnacentral:lncRNA from 1 species
GGCAUCGCGGACGAGGCCCGAACCCGAGGAGCAGACUUGCUGCGCGCGCCGCGUGCGGCUUCCCGGGUUCCGCGCUCCGGAGGGCGCGCGCCCGUUGCCCAAGCGACCCCCGGCGGCGCGCCCACGGCGCGUGGGCCGAGGCGGGACUCGGGGAGUAUCCUGAGUUCGAGCCUCAAGCCCGCCGGUUGAGUCAGGCGGCGAGGGCGUGGCCUCGAGCUGGGCGGUUGAGUGGGAGCGGCGUUUCCUGUCCCGGUCUGUUUUUCUUUUUUCUUUUUUUCCUUUUUGUCUUGGUUUUUCCAGACAGGGUUUCUGUGCGUAGCCCUGGACGUCCUCACAUUCACUCUGUAGACCAAGACUGGCCUCGAACUCAUAAAUCCGGCUGCCUUUUUCCCGAGUUCUGGGAUUAAAGGUGUGUGCCAUCACUUCGGGCUCCGUUCUUUAUUUUUAACUCAGGGUCACGAUAUUCCAGGCUGGCCUCUCACUUGCUGUCAGGCCAAGGAUAACCUCUUAUUUGCUGUCAGGCGAAGGAUGAUCCUCUCGCCUCCAUCUCCCACGUCUUGGAAUCACAGACAUGCAUUGCGGGGGAUAAACCAGAGCUCCGUGCAUGCUAGGACCUACUCCGGCCACAUCCCAGCGAGCAGAGUGUUCGUUUUAGACAACGAAUCACUCUAUAGCCCGAGCUGGCCUGGAGUUCACUACGUAACCCAGGCCAGCCUCCAGCUCUGGAUCUGCCUGCCUCAGUCUCCGGAGUUUUGGACAGGUGCUAACACCCAGCUGGCCACUCUGCUCUCAUGAAACUUGGGAAAGUCCAUAAGAGUUUUUACCCUGGCAGAAUGAACGGAUGGGACAUGUGGUGCUAGUUUUCUGUCUUUCUCCAGUAUCAAGAAAAUCCUGACCAGAUGUGGUGGCACUUGCCUUUAAACUCUCCAGGUAGAAGCAAGGGGUCUCUGAGUUCCAGGCCAGCCUGGUCUACAUCGUUCCGGGACAGCCAGUUAUACAGUGAGACCCCUUCUCAAAACAAAAAAACAACC